rnacentral:rRNA from 1 species
UACGUAGGUGGCAAGCGUUGUCCGGAUUCACUGGGUGUAAAGGGUGCGCAGGCGGAUUGGUAAGUCAGAGGUGAAAUCUCACGGCUUAACCGUGAAACUGCCUUUGAUACUGCUAAUCUUGAGUUAGGGAGAGGUUGAUGGAAUUCCAGGUGUAGCGGUGAAAUGCGUAGAUAUCUGGAAGAACACCAGUGGCGAAGGCGGCCAACUGGCCCUUAACUGACGCUCAUGCACGAAAGCGUGGGUAGCGAACAGG